rnacentral:rRNA from 1 species
UGGGUAACACUAACUGGAGGACCGAACCGACUAAUGUUGAAAAAUUAGCGGAUGACUUGUGGCUGGGGGGGAAAGGCCAAUCAAACCGGGAGAUAGCUGGUUCUCCCCGAAAGCUAUUUAGGUAGCGCCUCGUGAAUUCAUCUCCGGGGGUAGAGCACUGUUUCGGCAAGGGGGUCAUCCCGACUUACCAACCCGAUGCAAACUGCGAAUACCGGAGAAUGUUAUCACGGGAGACACACGGCGGGUGCUAACGUCCGUCGUGAAGAGGGAAACAACCCAGACCGCCAGCUAAGGUCCCAAAGUCAUGGUUAAGUGGGAAACGAUGUGGGAAGGCCCAGACAGCCAGGAUGUUGGCUUAGAAGCAGCCAUCAUUUAAAGAAAGCGUAAUAGCUCACUGGUCGAGUCGGCCUGCGCGGAAGAUGUAACGGGG